UUUUUCCAUAUGACAGGAUAUGUUCUUCAUUUUGAUGAAAGAUCAAAGAUAUAUUCUUCAAAGAUUUAUUACAAAGAGAUGUUCACAUUAGUUUAGUACAAGUUCAUCAAAACGAAGAAGGAAACUUAAUUAUGUUGAAAGAAAUAUCAAGAGAUGAUCAUAUUAGUAUAAAGUUUGAAUGAUUCCAAUAUUUUAAAGAUUCAUUAAUGUGUUGUUUUGAUUUCAAUAUUUUAAAAAUUUGUCAUGCUUGAAAAGUAUAUUAUCUAUGGUACAUUUCUCAUAGCUAUUAGAUAUUGUUGUGCUUAAAAAUCUAUAUAUAAUAUAAGUUAGAUGUUAAAAAAGUGAAGUUGCACCUCUCUUUGGCCAAUGAUUCUAUUUAUCUUUUUCCUCAAUUUUUUGAUAAUUUUUCAUAUUUUUCUACUUAUUUAUUAUUGUAUAAGAAAUAAAUAUAUCAAUUACUACUCCUCUAUUUAUUAUUAUAGUUAAAUGUCUCAAAAAUUAUUUACACUCAUUAUUAUAAAUAGGGAAAAGGGUAAAAAAUGCUCUUAAACUAUGUGAAAGGAACAAAAAUGUUCUUCGUUUAUAGUUUGAAUCAAAAAUGCCCUUACCGUCAAUACUUUGGUUAAAAGAUCCUCUUGCAGUAAAUACUCUGGUCCAAAAAUG
rnacentral:lncRNA from 1 species